AACGAACGCUGGCGGCAGGCCUAACACAUGCAAGUCGAACGGGACCUUCGGGUCUAGUGGCGGACGGGUGAGUAACGCGUGGGAACGUGCCCUUUGGUUCGGAAUAGCCUCGGGAAACUGGGAGUAAUACCGGAUACGGUCGAGAGACGAAAGAUUUAUCGCCGAAGGAUCGGCCCGCGUUGGAUUAGGUAGUUGGUGGGGUAAAGGCCUACCAAGCCGACGAUCCAUAGCUGGUUUGAGAGGAUGAUCAGCCACACUGGGACUGAGACACGGCCCAGACUCCUACGGGAGGCAGCAGUGGGGAAUCUUAGACAAUGGGGGAAACCCGUGAUCUAGCCAUGCCGCGUGAUCGAUGAAGGCCUUAGGGUUGUAAAGAUCUUUCAGUGGGGAAGGAUAAUGACGGUACCCACAGAAGAAGCCCCGGCUAAACUCCGUGCCAGCAGCCGCGGUAAAGGUGACUACUG
rnacentral:rRNA from 1 species